UAGUGCCGUAAAGACGUGUUUUGUGUGCUAUAAUUGUGGGUGGAAUGUUGAUUUAACUAUUUAUCUAAAUAUUAUAACGUGUAUUGCUGUAAAUAUUUCUUUGAGUAAAAUAACUCUUAAAAGAGUGAUAUAAUUCGUUAUAUAGAGGUGACUGCAUAAAAUCAACGUAAGCUGGUACAUUCAGACAAAAAUAUCAAAUGAGUGAAAAGAACACUUAUUGAUGUUUAAAACACAUCACCCGACGAUCGAAAACAAGAAUUGAGACAGAUUAAUGAAGCAAUCUAAGAUAAUUUAUACGUCUAGAUAGAGUUCUUGCUGUUAGACAACCGAAAAAAAGGCCAGGAAUAUUAGUUUUUCUCCUCUCAAUAGCGAAACAAUUCCUAUAACGUGAACGCUGAAGUAUAACCACAUAUGCUGUGUUUAACAUCAAUACUAUUAUAACCUUUUUUUUGGGUGAUUACUACAAUUUUUUUAAAGGGCUUAGUUACCACUAACGCAAAUAUUAUGGCGAGUAAAAGAAAGAGUCUAUGUGUUAACGACAAGGUGUGCCUUAUUCGGGCGAUACAAAAAGGUGAAAGGAUAAGUGAAGUUGGGAAACGUUUUGGCUUCAGUCCCUCUACUGUAGCUACUGUAUGGAAGAAUAAAGAGAAAUUUCUAAAGGCAGGGAUGGAAGGGAAAACUUUAAAAAAGUUAAAGCGGCCGAAAUAUCAGGAUCUAGAUCAGGCUAUGUUUUCAUGGGUUUGUGAACGCCGUCAGAAUAAUUUGCCGAUGUCAGGACCAAUUUUAAAAGCUCAAGCAGAGAAGUGUGCCAAAGAACUUAGAUUAACUAAUUUCAAAGCAUCAGGAGGAUGGCUCGAGAAAUUCAAACAGCGCCACCAUGUCAACUAUGGUAAAGCACGAGAUGUCAGUACGGUUGUUACUCAUGACAAUAGUAAAGAAAUCUCGGAUUCUAUUGCCGAUGCUCAGCCGAGUACUUCAACAACUACAACUGGAGAUGAGAAGAAUAAUGAUGAUAAAAUUAUAAUCUCAUCUAGCGAUCUGAUGACUUAUGACACUUGGGAUGAUCCUACUAUCAAAUUAGAAUUCGAAA